rnacentral:rRNA from 1 species
UGAGGAAUAUUGGUCAAUGGACGCAAGUCUGAACCAGCCAAGUAGCGUGCAGGAUGACGGCCCUAUGGGUUGUAAACUGCUUUUAUAUGGGGAUAAAGUGGGGAACGUGUUCCCUUUUGCAGGUACCAUAUGAAUAAGGACCGGCUAAUUCCGUGCCAGCAGCCGCGGUAAUACGGAAGGUCCGGGCGUUAUCCGGAUUUAUUGGGUUUAAAGGGAGCGUAGGCUGUCUAUUAAGCGUGUUGUGAAAUAUACCGGCUCAACCGGUGGCUUGCAGCGCGAACUGGUCGACUUGAGUAUGCAGGAAGUAGGCGGAAUUCAUGGUGUAGCGGUGAAAUGCUUAGAUAUCAUGACGAACUCCGAUUGCGCAGGCAGCUUACUGUAGCAUAACUGACGCUGAUGCUCGAAAGUGCGGGUAUCAAACAGG